AACUCGACGGGUUAGAUGAACAACUCGGCGAGUCCGAUGAAUAUUGCCAUAGACUCGACGAGUUGAUGAAUAACUCGACAAGUCGGAUGAGUUUUCUCCAGGAUAUGUAUGUGUGUGUAUCCGACGACUCGACGGUUGGCCUUAAAGUUUGAUUGAGAAUCAAAGGAACUUAAUGAGUCACCCCAAUGACUCGGCGAGUUGGAAUGCGCUUCGAGGAACUCGACGAGUAACUGAGGGUACUCGGCGAGUUGAGGCCAACAUGGACUAUUGACCUUGACUGAGGACAUUGACUUUGACCAAGGGUUGACUAGUGGGAUUUGGAGUACCUUAAAAGGUUAAGUACUUAUGAGUAUGUUGUACUAUGAUCUUAGGUGGUGGAGCCUGUGUCAAGUGAUCCGAGAAUUGGGAUUUAUCUACUCAGUCGACAUAUGCGAGGUAAGUUAUCCUCACUGUAUCAAAGGGUCUAAGGCACCAAGGCCGACCCUUUAUGGUUUUCAUCCUGGUUUAGGAUGGUUGCUAUGUUAUUGAUAUGCUAGAUACAUCCUGGUUUAGGAUGGUUGCUAUGUUACUGAUAUGUCGGAUUUCAUCCUGGUUUAGGAUGGUUGCUAUGUUAUUGAUAUGCUAGAUACAUCCGGUUUAGGAUGGUUGCUAUGUUACUGAUAUGCUAGAUUUAAUCUUGGUUUUGAAUGGUUGCUAUGUUAUU
rnacentral:lncRNA from 1 species